GGUGAAAUGUCCUUUAAGCUCCAAAAUGCUCCAAAGUCAUAGCUUUACUCCGAAAUGCACCUGAACUUGAAAACAUACCUAGAAGAGUAGAAAACAUAUAUAUAUAUAGUAAAAAUACAUAUAUACCAUGGAUAAAAAUGGGUCAAAUCCAAGGUAUAUCAAUAACCUUAUAAAAAUUCCCUUAUACAUUAAAAGAGAAGUCACUUUAGUGAUUUCUGCUGACGUGACACUCACAUAGAGCUUCUCAGGAAAAUUCUUAUAAUUCCAUUGGCUGAUUUUUUGGAAUUUUUCUUUUUCAAUUAUUUUAUUCACUCGCUUCCGCGGAUUUGAAAACGCCGUCGUAUGUCAUGAAGUUUUUUUUUUUUUUUCAAUCGCGUAUCAAUUGAAGGGGAAUAUGGUUUCAAACCGAUGAAGACAGUCCGACCAGAUGAGUUUGCCUCUCCAUACUCUGAAGACUCAAUCAUAUCCAUCGCGUCAAGAAGCAACAACCAGAUGAGUUUCCUUCUCUCCACCAUCGAUUACAUCGACGAUGUGAUGUUUGUCGAUACUCUCGGAAUUUACAGAUUUUUUGGUUUCUCUGAUUGGAUUAGACUUUUAAGCUAUGAGGCGAAGAUUUUUUUGAUUUCUCUGAUUGGAUUCGACUUUUAAGCUAUGAUACAAAGAUUUUUUGGUUUCUCUGAUUGGAUUCGACAUAUGUUAAGCUAUAAACUACGAUCUACUUAUUAACAUUUUGAAUCUUUGUAUCUAAUUGACUGAUUAACCUUCUUGUUGUUGAAGUCUUGAUUCUCUUAAACAAUAACAUUCAGCUUCACCAUCGAAUCCAUUGCCACGACCAGAGAAGUAUUUCGUGGACUGUCUACUGAUGGAACAAGAAGAGACAACUGACAUUUACAACAAACUUGGAUUCGACUUCAGUCUCUGAAGAAGGACUGUAAGAUUAUCUUCUCCUUAAUAACUCAACAAGCAUUUAGACAGUUCUCUCUUGAGAUUUUCAAGUUUGGUUUUCUGUUUCAUUAGCAUGAUUUAGAGCUUCACAUUACUAAUUCCGAGAGUCUGUUGCAUCGCUAAUUGCAGCACGAUUUAGAGCUUCACAUUACUAAUUUAGUCAGUUGGUUUCAUUCCUUGCGGUUUCCGGUCUGUUGGUUUUCGAAUUUUCAAGUUUGGUCUUCUUAAUUAUGAGAAAAAAAUAUCUUUAGCCUAUUUAGAAAAGCCCAAAUAUAUUGUCUAUUUAGUUAAGCCCAUAUAUUUAUUCGCUUGGGGGAUAAUAAUUAGAUAACUUGCGCUAGAUUGUUAACUAAUUUGCAUAUUAAUAACUUUCCUUAUUAUUCGAAUCAAUUGCGUGCGCCGGUUGUUACCAUAUUUAUUACAUUACUUGCGCAAGUUAAAAUUAUAUCAUAUGAAAAUCAUUUUUUGACAAUACACAAUUAGUAUCUUUCUUUAAACGAUUUCAAUCUUUAUUAGGGGUCACUAAUAUGAUAAAUAAAUCGGCUUGAUAUAUAUAGGAGACACCCGAAUGCUUAAAAUACUAACAUUCAGCUCUUACAAGAACAAUGGCAAUGGUGCGAGCCAAAAAAAAUAUUGUUUCUUAUGUGAGAGAAUUAAAACCCCGUAAAGAUACGUCGCGUAUUGAAGUUAGGAUUGUUCGCUUGUGGAAAAACUAUAACAAAGAAUCAGGAAACACCAUUGAAAUGGUGGUUGUUGAUAAAGAAGUAAGUAUACAUCACGCAAAAUAGAUUUUUUUGGAAGCAUCGUUUAAUAUACUUAUUCUGCGUUUAUAAAACUCUUAUAAUUUUUGUGACCAGGGGACAAGAAUUCAUGCUUCAGUUGGUGAACAACUCAUCAAAAAAUUCGAUGACAAGCUAUGCGAGGGAGAUGCGAUUAUCCUCCAGUUGUUCAAAGUGUACGAUGCUAUUGGUGAAUACCGUACAACGCCACAUCCUUACAAAAUUGGCUUCUUUCAAACAACAUUUGUUGGAAAAGAUGAUGAUUUUCCAAGUGCAGUUCCCGAAAAGUAUUUCGCGGACUUCUCUGAUAUUCUUGGUGGAAAUCUGGAUCAUAGCUGUUUGGUUGAUGUGGUUGGCAAAAUAGUUAACUUCGGGUCUCUGGAAAACAAAAUAAUAAAAGAAAAAGACAACAUGAGGCUCUUGGUUGAGUUGCGUGACCCAAAGUAAGACUAAGUUCUUAAUCUUAGUUAUACUUUGCUAGCUAAACCUCUAUAACCUGUAUUAAGCUCAUGUUUUAUAUUAUAUAGUAAUGUGAAGAUGAUGUGUACUCUGUGGGGUUGUUAUGCUAAACAAAUAUACGAUUACAGUAGGAGUAACAUGUUCACCAUGAUUAUUUGUGUUAUCAGAUUCUGUUCUGUUAAAGAGUAGAAAGGUAUAUAAUAUUGUUUCAGUUUGUGUAAAAUUAUUGCUCGCAUAACAUAUUAAUAAGAUCAAAAUACUUUGUAGGUGCUUACUCCAUAUCUAGCGGGUAUAAUUCAACUCAUAUUCUCCUCAACCUAACACUUGAAUUUAUUGAGGAGUUCAAAGCAAGGUACGUCUUAUGCGUCUUACGUUCCAGACCUAUUGAGGAGUUCAAUACAUAUAGAUGUACCUUCUUAAUUUUUGAACGUCAUUUUCACUGAAACGUUUUUAAAUUAUGUGUGAUUAUUUGAUUUGGCAGUCUCCCUGAUGAUUCACUUGCUCUUAUAAACAACGAUAGUAGCCAAUGGUCUGUUGGUAAUGCUACAUCUAUUCGUGCCAGGUUUUUUUUUCUUAAUGAAAAGCUAACCAUCAGAGAGAUCAUUGAUAGUACUCUGUUAUAUAGACUACACCCUUCGCUUUUAAAUUUUUUACACAUGCGUAUACUCCAUGUGUGAUCAAUGCUUUUAACAUAUGUUCAUUGACGAGUAGGUUGGCACAUUUAUUGUAAACCACUUUAUGCGUAUACUCCAAGUAUUGUUUAUUUGUAAUUGCACUUAAUGUACCUCAUUCGUUAAUUCGUUUGUUAUUAACUUAUCUUAUUUUGAAUAAGGUAUCUUUCGGAAGUUGAUAUUAUAUUUAUUGUAAACCACUUUAUGUAAAUGUCAAUAUUAUAUCUUUCUUAAAACUGUUUAAAAAAAUACUUGGCCAAUAUUCAUAUCCACAUCCCAAACACUACGUAUAUUUAACAUCUUACGGUGAGGAAGGUGAAUUACUUGACCCAUACGUAAUUCAAUCAAGAUUUAUGAAGAUAUCAAAUUAAUUGUGCUUCUACCUAUUAGAUCAGAUGUCAUCAUUGUAUUUAGAAAGUAAAUAGAUUUCAUAAUUAAUGUCAAAGUAAAGUCAAUCAUUUAUAUUUACUUUGAGUAUGGAGUUGGUAAAUAUUUUUUUUAUUAAUUACAAUUGAUAACAAAUUUAUGAUUACGAGUAAAUAUGGGUAGAUGAUAUAUGCAUAAUAGUUUUACGGACCCAAUUUAUGUAACAUAUAGAAAUUUAGCUUGAUAGACACACUAUUUAUAAAAUAACGUUUAUAUAACAACACAUAUUUCAACCUAAAGAGUUCGUAUAACCUAAUUUUGUCGCCUGAUCAUAGAGAUGUCUACUUUCAGCACAGUUUCAGAGUUCGGGCCUUACAAAGAGAUAUGUCAUAUUAAUGUUCAGAUUAUCCGUCUAUGGAAUAACUAUAUCGCAGCUGAUCGAUAUUUUAUUGAGUUGCUGCUAUGCAAUGCGUUUGUAAGAUAUACACUUUCAUAGACUUUAGUAUACCAAAGUAUUUAUUACCACCGACCUAUAGAUUUCUCCCUAAUAUGAAUUUUUAACUUGCAGUGAGACAAGAUUCAUGCUUCUAUAGGUAGUGCUUUGGUAGCACCAUAUGAGCGAAGACUCAAAAAAGGGUUAUGGACAAGUUUUGGAAAAUUUUCAGUUGUCCAAUGGGGAGGUGCAUUCAUUUCUCAAGCACUUAUUCUGUUACGGUCAUAUCUAUCCAUACCAUUUUUUAACUGAUAUUUUCCCUCAAUUAUUUUUUCUAGACGUCAUAGGUCAAAUAGUUGAGAUCAUCAAUGUGGAGAUUGUUUCUCUCAAUGGAAAAGACACUGAGAAGAUAACACUGGAGCUCCAUAAUCAGUUGUAUGUUUUUCUUUUCUUAAAAAUGAUCCAGCGCUUAUUCAUAGUAUCACAUUU